AUCAUAACAUGGAGCUGUUAGGGGAAAUGCUAAUGGAAUUGCGUAAAAAGAUGUCUGUAUUUCUGUGUGAUGGAAGAUCUAUUUUCAGGUGUGCUAAAUGGUGAAAUAAAAUCUUUGUGCCCACAGGAAUGUGCAUUCCAUCGUUAUAGCCAGUGUUUGGUUGUGCACAUUCCACCCAGACUGCACGGCUUAGGAGGUGUCUGAUGCUGGAGAGCUCAUCCCACCAGGAGCUGGAACUGAGGAGAAUAUGUACUUGGGCACCAGGACGCCGCAGGGCUCCAACCAAGAAUCCAGCGGGUGUGAAAGAAGAGCAAUUCUGAGAUACUACAGUUUCAGGGAGAGCAAGUGCAAGAGUUGGUGCCCUGACAUAUGAAGCAAUUGCCUUCUCUCAAAUUGGGCCUCAUAGUCAAUAGGGUCAAAGAAAGGCAUGGAUCUUUGGAUAUUUCUCCAUUGGGAUACAAGCAGAAGACUGGUGCUAUAGGCAGUGGGAAGCCUAAAGUUAUUUGGAACAAAGAAUAAAGGCCAAUCUCAAAGAAGAAAAUGAAGGAAAAAGGCAGUGAGAAAACAAGUUUCACACAGCCAGGCAGUCCAUCAGGCCAUUCUGCCCUGCACCUUCCUGGGAGAGAUAUUUACAGGAAUACCCAAUGAAUUAACUUACAGAGGAAUGAUAAUCCAAUAAACCAACCC
rnacentral:lncRNA from 1 species